UAGGGAAUCUUCGGCAAUGGGGGGAACCCUGACCGAGCAACGCCGCGUGAGUGAAGAAGGUUUUCGGAUCGUAAAGCUCUGUUGUUAAGGAAGAACGAGUGUGAGAAUGGAAAGUUCAUACUGUGACGGUACUUAACCAGAAAGGGACGGCUAACUACGUGCCAGCAGCCGCGGUAAUACGUAGGUGGCAAGCGUUGUCCGGAUUUAUUGGGCGUAAAGCGAGCGCAGGCGGUCAAUUAAGUCUGAUGUGAAAGCCCCCGGCUCAACCGGGGAGGGUCAUUGGAAACUGGUUGGCUUGAGUGCAGAAGAGGAGAGUGGAAUUCCAUGUGUAGCGGUGAAAUGCGUAGAUAUAUGGAGGAACACCAGUGGCGAAGGCGACUCUCUGGUCUGUAACUGACACUGAGGUUCGAAAGCGUGGGUAGCAAACAGG
rnacentral:rRNA from 1 species